rnacentral:rRNA from 1 species
UACGAAGGGUGCAAGCGUUAAUCGGAAUUACUGGGCGUAAAGCGCGCGUAGGUGGUUCAGCAAGUUGGAUGUGAAAGCCCUGGGCUCAACCUGGGAACUGCAUCCAAAACUACUGAGCUAGAGUACGGUAGAGGGUAGUGGAAUUUCCUGUGUAGCGGUGAAAUGCGUAGAUAUUAGGAGGAACACCAGUGGCGAAGGCGGCUUUCUGGACAGUAACUGACGCUGAGGCGCGAAAGCGUGGGGAGCAAACAGGAUUAGAAACCCUAGUAGU